CCGCCAGCCCCUCUUCCUCCCCCACGUCCCUCUUUGGAGCCCCCCCUUUACCGGAAGAGAGAUGGACAAGGAGGCCAGUGGCGCGACGACAUCGACCGUGCUGAGCAGUGCGCGGGAGCGGCACUGCCGGUGGAGCGACGACGUCGAGGGAGCUGAGCAGCCCAGCGACGGUGGCCAGCGGCGAGGCGCCCUUGCGCUAUACGGCCACGGCAGCAUCCGCUCCGUACCUGCAGCGGGGACGGCAGACGGCCAACCGGGCGCCCCGAGGUCCACCCAGCAGCUCCCUUUGUGGCCGGCCCAUGGGGAGGAGCACGGGAGGCCGCCACCAUCCCCGGCUCCAUAGCGAUGGGCAGCAUCGGCGCUCGCCCGAGGGGUCGUGCGCGAUGGGAUUUUGGCGUGAACAAACUGCGAUUUGGGGUCAGGUCCGUGUGUAGAUUGUUGGAUCAGUAGGGAUCGGGCACCACUGCUCUGCAAGCUCGAGCUCCCUCCACCGCUCCUCAGCUUCAUCCUAGGGAGGCUUCCUCAUGCUUCAGGCUCCAGCUUGUACCAAGCGGUUCUUUUGUAAGCACGUAGAUGUACCCUUACCGACUAUAUCAGUAAACAAAAUAUGUGGCAAGGUAAGAACUUCCACUCAUGUAAGUGUAUGGAAAUUUAUUUUCCUAAAACUAUUUAUUUUGUCUUCUCCAAAUCUGAUCAUUCAUGAUGUGUAUAUUAUAUCCUUACUUUUAUUCUGACAUCAGGAUGAGUCUCCGGAAACAAGCGAUGUGCAUAUAUUCUAAUGGCCAGCCAAGAUAGAUGUUAGCUAGCAUUCGACGUCGCUCUAUUCCCUAGGUUGUCUGUUGCAAGCUCUUGGUGGACCUAUUUCUUUUAUAGGUAGCUUUUCUACAUAUCUUCUACCUCAGCUUGGUCAGCCUGCUGUUGAUGCUCCAAGUGCUACAGCUCCCUCUCAGUCAGUCAUUGAGGUUGAGUCUGAGAAGGCACAAAUCCAGGGAUCUUUGAUUCUGAGUUGAGCCACCCUCUGCCAGUCUCCGCCAAUGCCGGCAGACGCCGAGUAGCAUCCGCGGAUCGUUUCCUGGUGAGGACGUGGUGAUUCCUAUUGUGAGGACGUGGUGAUUCCUAUUGUGCAGCGAACCAAGUCAAAACUUUAAAAUGCUUUAUCUCCUCCAAAAUUACUUGAUAAGGAAUCCUGCAAAUGAUUUUAGCUUAUCAUGGCUGCCUUUCUUUUGUUGUUCAUUCCUUAAUUUUGCUACUUUAGAUAGUCAUACAAUCGUACUUAUUGUACUAUAUUUUCAGUAUUAGUCAUUGUAAUAUAUCCGCCUAUUUUCCUGAUUGUAUAUAAUUGUUUGUCUAACAAUACAUAUUAUCAUUUUA